rnacentral:lncRNA from 1 species
UCAACUUGAACUACGUCCAAUUCUUCAAGGAUUCUUAAGGGGUUCCACUAAUUUUUAAUAAUAUUACAUGAGUUUUACCUCUCCAGGUUUACAACAAUAUUCUUACCACUUCUGGUCACCUAGUCAACACGACUAGUUCGAGUUUAACCACUCUUAGUUUAGUGGUCUAAACCCUAGUCAACACGACUAGACAAUUGUUUUAAUUCUCUUCAGAAUUUACAAUGCAGAAAGUGUUAUGAUCAAAGGUAUAGAUGAUAACUCUCAAAGAGAGGAUAUAUGACAUACAAGGAGUUCUGUGAUUUGCUAAAUUUUUUCUCUCAAAAUAUAUUUAACUUCAGAUAAAUAUGAGCAUGGUAAGUUUGAGUUCAUUAUUAUAUUUUUCUUAUAUUUUCCUUCUUAUGUUAUCAUUCUUCUUUUCUUCUCUUCAAACUUUCGUCUAUAUAUAGCUUCUCUUGAAAGUUGACCAUUAGACUGAGAAGUUAACUUCAAGAAAGCAUGUAGCUUCAGGUAGGAAGUCAAUCUUUAGUCUUCUUUGUAGUGAUCAUUGCUUUAUCAUAGCCUUAAGAAAAGCGGAGCCUGAAAGAUGUGACGGAGCAUAAGGCUUUAAGGGAAACAUUCCUAGAAUAUUUUUCAUCUCUCACAAUGUCUUUUCUUAGGUGCAAUGAUUCUAAUAAUAUCUUUCUCCUUUAGUGAUCUACACAAAUAUCAAAAACAAAGUAUACAAACAUCUAAGCACUUUAUUGUACAUACAUUAAAUGUUUUGAACAUUGAUAAACGUUAGACUAUAUUACAUGUUCAAGACAUUUUAUCAUUUCUAUGUCAUUUAUAAAUGCAUCCUUCGAUAAAGCAUACAACAUGUAUAAUCAUCAAAUUGUAUAAAAUAUUAAAUGCUUUUUUCAAAGACUAUAACGUUUAGUGGUUAUUCAUUAGAUGAUGGAUUCUUUAAGAUGUUUUGCUUGAGAUAACAUUAUACAACAAAACAUUUUAGCCUUAGUGUUAUACAAGAAAUAUACUUUCUUGCUCAUAAAACGUUAGCUUAUUAUUCAUAUAGUCUAUUAGAUGAUUUCAGUAAGAUAUGGUUUCUUAGACAAUUUAGCCUAAAGAACAUUGUCUAGAUGUUACAAGAUAUUCCUUUCAUCGACGAUAUUUAUUUAAAAUAACUUUUCAUACACAAUAAUAUUUCUUUUAAUAUUUUUUGUUAAACUUCAAAACCUGAGUUGUUUAGACCAUAAAUUCUUUAGAUGAUCUUGUCUUAAUAAUUUCUUCCUUUUUUAUGAUUAACAAAUACAAAUUCUAAACAAAAUAGUCUUGAAAAGAUUUUCAAAACAUUUGUAUCAGAGUAUAAAUAUGUUUUGUAAAAAAUAUCAGAACAAAUAUGAAUUCUUCGAUAAUAGAAAUUUUCCUUCUUUUACUAUAUUCAAAGCGUUUAUAUGUCAAGAAUUAUAUCAAAGUGUAAAGUGUAAAUAUUAAACAGAUUAUAUUAGAGCAUUCAUUUUAUUAUAGUGAAGAAGUAUCAUAGCGAAACAUUUUUUUUUUUUUAUAUUUACCAAAGAAAAUGAAAACAUCGUUUGAUUUUCUUUUUCAAGUAUGUGAGAAUAUAGUUUAACAUUCUCAGAAGAAAAUAUUAUCAGAACAAAUGUGAUUUAUAGCAUCAGACAAUUAUCAUUUUAUUUAAGCGAUUAUUAUUAAAAAAUCAAUUCUCCUCACUUCUUAUUGUUGUCCUCACUUUAAACAUUUUGUUUUUAACAUAGGCCAUCUCCCAUAAUACUUUGAUAGAUUUAUGAGAUAUUUGUGUUCGAAGUCCCAUAUCGACUAGAGAUAAGGCCAAUUUAUAAUAUAUAAGUGGGGUGCAGACCUUACCUUACAAACUAGUUUUGUGGGGUUGAGUUAAGUCUAGAAUCCACUUCUAACAAUUUGUACCACUAACCUGGACAAAAUUCAACACAGCAAAAAACACCUCUGAUGCACUACCACGUCGGACCAUCCCUUUUGCUAAACAGGACAGUUUCCUGCAAAAACUACCUUUGAAGUUCAAACAUGCUGAACCAAUCUUGGCUACUUUUAGAAUUUAAACUAUGCAAUAAACGCUAUAGAGACAACCCUUGAAAUUCUCACUACAAUAUGUCUCCUUAAAGCUAACCUGGACAAACUCCAUUUCUGCGUAUACAGGCCUAAUAGCUUACUUCAUGGAACUGCCAAACUGUGAACUAUGACAGUUUUAAAGACUGCAGAAACCCCCUGACAUUCUUACCUAAUCCUACCAAGACACUCCACUCAGUCACGGCUCAUUCACAAAGCAAAUACACUUGACUCUCACACACUCAAAAAUCCUGGACCACACUGCAUUUGAGAGCUAUAUCAAACCAUUGCAUUCCAGACUCCUAACACCAGGGGAAAAAUCUGUACGCACUAGGCUGCUACACUAACACUUCCCAUUCUAUAACUACUCCCCAACCAUAGGGUUGUACUCAAAACUCCUAAUCGCAGACUACGUGAAGCCACUGCUCUGCACCUUUUAGAAACCCUCAGUUCGUUCCUUCCAACUCAUAAUAUUGCAUUUCAAGUUCAAUUACUCAAACAUACGAGACCAAAAGCAUAUAAAACUUCAAGCACAUAGGAUUAGUUAAUUACCACCACAGAUUUAAGGCUAUACCGAAACAGAUUUAAGCCAAAAAACCAUAAACUGGUUUACGUUCACAUCAUUCACAGAAUACAAUAAUAUAAACCAGCAUUUUAGCCACAGCAGCAUACAUGAGUGGUUCAAACCAGCAAGAGUAUAGCGUCUAAUUCAGCCUAUCCUGUUCUACAAACAUACAUUCUCAAAGGCCAAAAACAGCCCUUCACCCGAUUAGGAUUCAUAUAUUCACAAACCAGACUUUGUUUUAGUAAAAUAGUGAAUGGAAAUGUGUUAAAAGCACGAUACGUUCUACACCACAGCAUACAUCAAGUCUGCCCCCAAGGCAGCCUAUCCAGCAAUUUCCAGAACUAACAUAGCAAUCACAAAAUGGUCAUUCCUCAAUUCAGACUUUUCAUAGCUAAUUACACCGCAUUGAAUAGGAUAUAAUCUAAGGGAUUAAUGCUAACCCGGUUGCUGCCUAUUGCACCUACAAUUUCAACUCAAUAACAAAAUAAUAAAACCAUUUCCAGCAGUACAGUUAUAAUUCAAUUCAUGGUAAGCCUAGAAAAGAAGGAAAAAUAGUAUAAUGACACUUUCAUUACAUCCAAUUAAGAAAUUCCAGGGCACUGAACAAAAAAGCAUUCCACCACAGUUCACAAAAUUAAAACUCACAGAAAAGAAUCAGGUUACUACCAUCCCCUUACCUUGCUUUGUCCUAGCUCUUUUCUCGGCACCAAAUGAUUCUCCAAUUACACAUUUUAUCUAGUCAAGGACUAGAACACAAUAUCACGUUACAUUGAACUUAUGUUAUUUGUUAUUAUUAUUUAUAUAUAUUGAUAAAAUCCUAUAAAUAUUCUUAAUUUAAC